rnacentral:lncRNA from 1 species
UCUACCUGCCUCAGCCUCCCAAAGUGCUGGGAUUACAGGCGUAAGCCACCGCGCCCGGCCACCUCACAGGUUUUAACGUGCAUCUACAUCACCCUGGGAUCUUGUGUCAAUGCAGGUCCUGAUUCAGUAGGUUCAGGAGGAGCCUGAUUCUGCUCGUCCAAGCUGCCAGGGUCUGAUUUCCUUUGUGUGAGCACUCCGCCACUAGGGGUUCUUUGGCUGGCAAGAGAAACUAGAGAAGUUUUGCUUCCAGGAGGGGAGAGGUGGGCAGACUAUACCCAUGGGGCCCAAACCGGCCUGCGUCUGCACCGUCCCUAGAAAUACGCAGCAGCACUUUUCCUCCCCUCCCUGAGCAAGCCAGGGAGCCCUGUGGCUUCCAGGGCAUUUGCCCUUGUGGUCACCUAAGGCCGAGGCAGCGGCGUACCAACGGGUGGCAGUGGGAGCCCCUCCUUGGUGGGGAGCAGUAUUGUAUCACUGACAUGCCUU